rnacentral:rRNA from 1 species
UACGAAGGGGGCUAGCGUUGCUCGGAAUCAUUGGGCGUAAAGCGCACGUAGGCGGUCUGUUAUGUCGGAUGUGAAAGCCCUCGGCUCAACCGGGGAAGUGCACUCGAAACUGCAAGGCUAGAGUCUCGGAGAGGAUCGUGGAAUUCUCGGUGUAGAGGUGAAAUUCGUAGAUAUCGAGAGGAACACCGGUGGCGAAGGCGGCGAUCUGGACGAUGACUGACGCUGAGACGCGAAAGCGUGGGGAGCAAACAGG